CUUAAGGGAGUGGGGCGGGCUAUAAUGCAAGUCGUACGCUUCUUUUUCCACCGGAGCUUGCUCCACCGGAAAAAGAGGAGUGGCGAACGGGUGAGUAACACGUGGGUAACCUGCCCAUCAGAAGGGGAUAACACUUGGAAACAGGUGCUAAUACCGUAUAACAAUCGAAACCGCAUGGUUUUGAUUUGAAAGGCGCUUUCGGGUGUCGCUGAUGGAUGGACCCGCGGUGCAUUAGCUAGUUGGUGAGGUAACGGCUCACCAAGGCCACGAUGCAUAGCCGACCUGAGAGGGUGAUCGGCCACAUUGGGACUGAGACACGGCCCAAACUCCUACGGGAGGCAGCAGUAGGGAAUCUUCGGCAAUGGACGAAAGUCUGACCGAGCAACGCCGCGUGAGUGAAGAAGGUUUUCGGAUCGUAAAACUCUGUUGUUAGAGAAGAACAAGGAUGAGAGUAACUGUUCAUCCCUUGACGGUAUCUAACCAGAAAGCCACGGCUAACUACGUGCCAGCAGCCGCGGUAAUACGUAGGUGGCAAGCGAAAAA
rnacentral:rRNA from 1 species